CAGCCGCCGCGGUAAUACGAAGGGGGCUAGCGUUGCUCGGAAUCACUGGGCGUAAAGGGUGCGUAGGCGGGUCUUUAAGUCAGAGGUGAAAUCCAGGAGCUCAACUCCAGAACUGCCUUUGAUACUGAGGAUCUUGAGUUCGGGAGAGGUGAGUGGAACUGCGAGUGUAGAGGUGAAAUUCGUAGAUAUUCGCAAGAACACCAGUGGCGAAGGCGGCUCACUGGCCCGAUACUGACGCUGAGGCACGAAAGCGUGGGGAGCAAACAGGAUUAGAUACCCGGGUAGUCCCUGUCUCUUAUAC
rnacentral:rRNA from 1 species